UACGUAGGGUGCAAGCGUUAAUCGGAAUUACUGGGCGUAAAGCGUGCGCAGGCGGUUGUGCAAGACAGAUGUGAAAUCCCCGGGCUCAACCUGGGAAUUGCAUUUGUGACUGCACGGCUAGAGUGUGUCAGAGGGGGGUAGAAUUCCACGUGUAGCAGUGAAAUGCGUAGAGAUGUGGAGGAAUACCGAUGGCGAAGGCAGCCCCCUGGGACGUCACUGACGCUCAUGCACGAAAGCGUGGGGAGCAAACAGG
rnacentral:rRNA from 1 species